GUGCCAGCAGCCGCGGUAAUACGGAGGGGGUUAGCGUUGUUCGGAAUUACUGGGCGUAAAGCGCACGUAGGCGGAUUAGAAAGUUGGGGGUGAAAUCCCGGGGCUCAACCCCGGAACUGCCUCCAAAACUGCUAGUCUAGAGUUCGAGAGAGGUGAGUGGAAUUCCGAGUGUAGAGGUGAAAUUCGUAGAUAUUCGGAGGAACACCAGUGGCGAAGGCGGCUCACUGGCUCGAUACUGACGCUGAGGUGCGAAAGUGUGGGGAGCAAACAGGAUUAGAUACCCUGGUAGUCCACACCGUAAACGAUGAAUGCCAGUCGUCGGGUAGUAUACUAUUCGGUGACACACCUAACGGAUUAAGCAUUCCGCCUGGGGAGUACGGUCGCAAGAUUAAAACUCAAA
rnacentral:rRNA from 1 species